rnacentral:rRNA from 1 species
GUAGGCUGAAACUCGCCUACAUGAAGCUGGAGUUACUAGUAAUCGCAGAUCAGAAUGCUGCGGUGAAUGCGUUCCCGGGUCUUGUACACACCGCCCGUCACACCACGGAAGUUGGGGGCGCCCGAAGCCACUUAGCUAACCCUUUUGGGAAGCGAGUGUCGAAGGUGAAAUCAAUAACUGGGGUGAAGUCGUAACAAGGUACC